rnacentral:rRNA from 1 species
CCUACGGGAGGCAGCAGUGGGGGAUAUUGCACAAUGGGGGGAACCCUGAUGCAGCGACGCCGCGUGAGUGAAGAAGCGCCUCGGCGCGUAAAGCCCUGUCAGCAGGGAAGAAAAUGACUGUACCUGAAGAAGAAGCCACGGCUAACUACGUGCCAGCAGCCGCGGUAAUACGUCGGGGGCAAGCGUUAUCCGGAUUUAAUGGGUGGAAAGGGGGCGCAGACGGCGAUGCAAGCCAGUAGUGAAAGCCCGGGGCCCAACCCCGGGACUGCUCUUGGAACUGCGUGGCUGGAGUGCAGGAGGGGCAGGCGGAAUUCCUGGUGUAGCGGUGAAAUGCGUAGAUAUCAGGAGGAACACCGGUGGCGAAGGCGGCCUGCUGGACUGCAACUGACGUUGAGGCCCGAAAGCGUGGGGAGCAAACAGGAUUAGAUACCCCUGUAGUC